UCCGAAUUGGUGUAGUGGCUAACAUUUGACGCUCUCAUGAUAAAUGAUCCGUCAAGCCCGGGGUUCGAUUCCCCGAUUCGGAG